rnacentral:rRNA from 1 species
UACGUAGGGGGCUAGCGUUGUCCGGAUUUAUUGGGCGUAAAGAGCGUGUAGGCGGCCAUGUAGGUCCGGUGUGAAAACUCGAGGCUUAACCUCGAGAUGUCAUCGGAAACCAUUUGGCUAGAGUCCGGAAGAGGAGAGUGGAAUUCCUGGUGUAGCGGUGAAAUGCGCAGAUAUCAGGAAGAACACCAAUGGCGAAGGCAGCACUCUGGGACGUGACUGACGCUGAGACGCGAAAGCGUGGGGAGCAAACAGG